rnacentral:rRNA from 1 species
GAGCUUGCUUUUCUUGACUUAGUGGCGAACGGGUGAGUAACGCGUGAGUAACCUGCCCUGGAGUGGGGGACAACAGUUGGAAACGACUGCUAAUACCGCAUAAGCCCACGGAUCCGCAUGGAUCUGCGGGAAAAGGAUUUAUUCGCUUCAGGAUGGACUCGCGUCCAAUUAGCUAGUUGGUGAGGUAACGGCCCACCAAGGCGACGAUUGGUAGCCGGACUGAGAGGUUGAACGGCCACAUUGGGACUGAGACACGGCCCAGACUCCUACGGGAGGCAGCAGUGGGGGAUAUUGCACAAUGGGGGAAACCCUGAUGCAGCGACGCCGCGUGGAGGAAGAAGGUUUUCGGAUUGUAAACUCCUGUCGUUAGGGACGAUAAUGACGGUACCUAACAAGAAGGCACCGGCUAACUACGUGCCAGCAGCCGCGGUAAAACGUAGGGUGCAAGCGUUGUCCGGAAUUACUGGGUGUAAAGGGAGCGCAGGCGGACCGGCAAGUUGGAAGUGAAAACUAUGGGCUCAACCCAUAAAUUGCUUUCAAAACUGCUGGCCUUGAGUAGUGCAGAGGUAGGUGGAAUUCCCGGUGUAGCGGUGGAAUGCGUAGAUAUCGGGAGGAACACCAGUGGCGAAGGCGACCUACUGGGCAC